rnacentral:rRNA from 1 species
UGAGGAAUUUUCUACAAUGGGCGCAAGCCUGAUAGAGCAAUACCGCGUGAGGGAUGACGGCCUAUGGGUUGUAAACCUCUUUUCUCAAGGAGGAAGAUAUGACGUUACUUGAGGAAUAAGCAUCGGCUAACCCUGUGCCAGCAGCCGCGGUAAUACAGGGGAUGCAAGUGUUAUCCGGAAUUAUUGGGCGUAAAGCGUCUGCAGGUGGAUAGUUAAGUCUUAUGUCAAAUUUCUAGGCUCAACCUGGAGUCGGCAAAAAGAAACUGGUUAUCUCGAGUAUGGUAGAGGUAAAGGGAAUUUCAAGUGGAGCGGUGAAAUGCGUAGAUAUUUGAAAGAACUCCAAUAGCGAA